GAACGCUGGCGGCGUGCUUAACACAUGCAAGUCGAACGCGAAAGGGGACUUCGGUCCUGAGUAAAGUGGCGCACGGGUGAGUAACGCGUGGAUAAUCUGCCCUAUGAUCGGGAUAACAGUUGGAAACGGCUGCUAAUACCGGAUACGCUCAAAAUGAACUUUUUGAGGAAAGAUGGCCUCUGCUUGCAUGCUAUCACGUAAGGAUGAGUCCGCGUCCCAUUAGCUUGUUGGCGGGGUAACGGCCCACCAAGGCAACGAUGGGUAGCCGAUUUGAGAGGAUGAUCGGCCACACUGGAACUGAAACACGGUCCAGACUCCUACGGGAGGCAGCAGUGGGGAAUAUUGCGCAAUGGGCGAAAGCCUGACGCAGCGACGCCGCGUGAGGGAUGAAAAGGUUUUCGGAUCGUAAACCUCUGUCAGAAGGGAAGAAACUACGUUGUGCUAAUCAGCAGCGUACUGACGGUACCUUCAAAGGAAGCACCGGCUAACUCCGUGCCAGCAGCUGC
rnacentral:rRNA from 1 species